GAUGAAGAACGCAGCGAAAUGCGAUAAGUAGUGUGAAUUGCAGAAUUCAGUGAAUCAUCGAAUCUUUGAACGCACAUUGCGCCCCUUGGUAUUCCAUGGGGCAUGCCUGUUCGAGCGUCAUUUGUACCUUCAAGCUCUGCUUGGUGUUGGGUGUUUGUCUCGCCUCUGCGUGUAGACUCGCCUCAAAACAAUUGGCAGCCGGCGUAUUGAUUUCGGAGCGCAGUACAUCUCGCGCUUUGCACUCAUAACGACGACGUCCAAAAGUAAAUUGUUACAAACUUGACCUCGGAUCAGGUAGGGAUACCCGCUGAACUUAAGCAUAUCAAUCAGCGGAGGA
rnacentral:misc_RNA from 1 species